GCCGAAUUAAAGAGAAUACAAAUAAAAUUUGUAAAAAUGGAGUAUCCAUUUGGUCCUCUUGUAAAUUGGGAGUGUUUUAGUCCUUUUGGACAAAUACCCGUUUUCGAACAGAUCUUGAUGGAUUUUGCAAUAUCCAUCACCGUAGACGCAAUGUGUUACAAGCUUGCAAUCUACACCUGGCUAUACCGUAUCAAAUUAUAGCUCCCAUCUUUAGCCUCGAAUCUUUUUAUUGUUUUCUCUGUCCAAUUCCCAAUUUCAGCCUCACAUCUCUUUUUCUAUAGCUCGCUCACUCUCUCGCAAUCAGUGAAGUUGAACCGUGAAGGACCUUAACUCUAACGCAGAUAAAGUUAUCGGCUUGCAAAUGGCGAGGCCAGAUACAUGAACAUCCUUGUGAAGCGUCUAUUUACACCAGAAUUGAACCCUCGGCUGGAUGAAAUGAGUGUUGACGGAUAAAGGUUCUAUGUAAUAAAAGGCAAGAAUGGCAAAUCAUAAAAUUAAAGCAGUGCAGAUUGAUCUUGAGGACUUAUUUAACGUACAAUUCUUCCUAUUCUCCUCUCAAUUUAUUCUAGAGAUUUGGAUGAGGAAUUUCUCAGGCGGGUUACUGAGAACACUCGACGAUACAUUGGAAUUUUCGCAGGUGCAAUCCACAAGCUAUUACCGGAGCCCACUGAGGCCUUUCAUGAUGAUGGUCAUGAUAUAUUGAUGAGAUUAAACUUUACUGGUAAGCUUCAAGAAAAAACCCUUUUCACUCUUGAUGCACUGAAUCUGUUCUAAAUUCUCUUUUUAGAGAAUAAUAUGUUAAUUUCUGAGUUUAUGUUGUUAUUUUAGUGUCUGUGUAGGUUUUUUAAUCAAAAUAUCCUUUUAUAGCGUGGGAAAUGAACUAUUGUAAUGCAUCAUAGGAAGGUAUUUCUAUGACUAAAUCAUUGGAGCAAAAGAGUUUUCCAUCCAACUAUUUAUUUGUUUAUAAAUAGUCUAAAAUUAAUAAAUAUCUUUAUGUGUUAUUAUAAAAAAAAAUUAAAAAUUCUUUGUGCUUAUGCACGAGUUUAAAACUUAGUUGUACAUAAAACGAAAUCAUUGGGUGAAAAACUCUCGCAAUCAAAUGUUUGAGGGAAAGAAAUCAUGAAUAAAAAAAUGAAUUAUUAACUUUGAUAAAUAACUUGGUGCUUAAUUCAUAUUUACAAUAAAAAGUUUGACUCUUCUGCUAUAAAUCAUCUUUUGCCUCUUCUUUUGUUGGGCUAAUCCUCUACUUUUGUACGUUAAGUGAUGGAUAAGAAGUGGUAGAUCUUCAUGAUUAUUUUAUCUUCGAUCAGAACAGUAAAUUACAUCGUAUCAGCAUUGUAGCACAAUAUUCCCUAGAUGACAAACUAAACUCCAUUUAAUUUCUUGAUAUGACAAAGGAAAAUUGCUCUCUCUCCUCGACUGAGGAGCUCGUGGUUGGUCCACCAUGGAAAAGAAACUGUAAGCUCACUAACAAGGCUAAGAGUUCCCGUGCUAAUAUUGUCAAAUGAAGCAUGAGGCCUCCGUUGAAAUCUUUAGAGAAAGAAACAUUUGGAGAAUUUAAGGUCGA